rnacentral:rRNA from 1 species
UACGUAGGGGGCAAGCGUUGUCCGGAAUCAUUGGGCGUAAAGAGCGUGUAGGCGGCCCGAUAAGUCCGCUGUGAAAGUCCAGGGCUCAACCCUGGGAUGCCGGUGGAUACUGUCGGGCUCGAGUCCGGAAGAGGCGAGUGGAAUUCCUGGUGUAGCGGUGAAAUGCGCAGAUAUCAGGAGGAACACCAAUGGCGAAGGCAGCUCGCUGGGACGUGACUGACGCUGAGACGCGAAAGCGUGGGGAUCAAACAGG